GAAUAUUGGACAAUGGGGGAAACCCUGAUCCAGCAAUGCCGCGUGCGUGAAGAAGGCCCUAGGGUUGUAAAGCGCUUUCACCUGCGAGGAUGAUGACAGUAGCAGGAGAAGAAGCCCCGGCUAACUCCGUGCCAGCAGCCGCGGUAAUACGGAGGGGGCUAGCGUUGUUCGGAAUUACUGGGCGUAAAGGGCGUGUAGGCGGCGGAACAAGUCAGGCGUGAAAGCCCCGGGCUCAACCUGGGAGGUGCGCUUGAUACUGUUUUGCUAGAGUCCGGGAGAGGCGAGUGGAAUAUCCAGUGUAGAGGUGAAAUUCGUAGAUAUUGGAUGGAACACCAGUGGCGAAGGCGGCACGCUGGACCGGAACUGACGCUGAGGCGCGAAAGCGUGGGGAGCAAACAGG
rnacentral:rRNA from 1 species